GACGAACGCUGGCGGCGUGCUUAACACAUGCAAGUCGAACGGUAAGGCCCUUUCGGGGGUACACGCGUGGGGAACGGGCGAGUAACACGCGAGUAACCUGCCCACAACUUAGGGAUAACUAUCUGAAACUAGCUCGAACACUUGACAUGUGCUCCUGCCGCAUGGAGGGGGGUGGUAAGCUCCGGCGGUUGGGGGUGGACGCGCGGCCUAUUCGGUUGUUGGUGGGGGAGUGGGCUACCAAGGCGGCGACGGGUAGCCGGCCGGGGAGGGUGACCGGCCCACUUUGGGCUUGGAUACGGCCCAGGCUCCCACGGGGGGCAGGAGUGGGGAAUAUUGGCCAAAGGGCGCGAGCCUGAUUCAGCAACGCCCCGUGCGGGAUGACGGCCUUCGGGUUGGAAGCCGCUUUCAGCAGGGACGAAGCUUUUUGUGACGGUACCUGCAGAAGAAGCACCGGCUAACUACGUG
rnacentral:rRNA from 1 species